GACGAACGCUGGCGGCGUGCCUAAUACAUGCAAGUUGAGCGCUGAAGGUUGGUACUUGUACCAACUGGAUGAGCAGCGAACGGGUGAGUAACGCGUGGGGAAUCUGCCUUUGAGCGGGGGACAACAUUUGGAAACGAAUGCUAAUACCGCAUAAAAACUUUAAACACAAGUUUUAAGUUUGAAAGAUGCAAUUGCAUCACUCAAAGAUGAUCCCGCGUUGUAUUAGCUAGUUGGUGAGGUAAAGGCUCACCAAGGCGAUGAUACAUAGCCGACCUGAGAGGGUGAUCGGCCACAUUGGGACUGAGACACGGCCCAAACUCCUACGGGAGGCAGCAGUAGGGAAUCUUCGGCAAUGGACGAAAGUCUGACCGAGCAACGCCGCGUGAGUGAAGGAGGUUUUCGGAUCGUAAAACUCGGUUGGUAGAGAAGAACGUUGGUGAGAGUGGAAAGCUCAUCAAGUGACGGUAACUACCCAGAAAGGGACGGCUAACUACGUG
rnacentral:rRNA from 1 species